rnacentral:rRNA from 1 species
AACUAGCAACGCCGCGUGUGCAAAGAAGGCCUUCGGGUUGAAAGCACUUUUUGAGAGGAUGAGGAAGGACGGUACUCUCAGAAUAAGUCUCGGCUAACUACGUGCCAGCAGCCGCGGUAACACGUAGGAGGCAAACGUUAUCCGGAUUUACUGGGCGUAAAGCGCGUGUAGGUGGUUUGGUAAGUAGGGCGUGAAAGCUCCUGGCUCAACUGGGAGAGGACGUUCUAAACUGCCAAGCUUGAGGAUGGUAGAGGGAGGUGGAAAUUCCGGGUGUAGCGGUGGAAUGCGCAGAUAUCAGGAGGAACACCGAUGGCGAAGGCAGAUCUCUGGGCCGUAACUGACGCUGAGGAGCGAAAGGGUGGGGAGCAAACAGGCUUAGAUACCCUGGUAGUCCACCCCGUAAACGUUGGGAACUAGUUGUGGGGUCCAUUCCACGGAUUCCGUGACGCAGCUAACGAAUUAGGUUCCCCCGCCUGGGGAGUACGG